UUUGACGAUAGACUCAACUGCUUGCCGGCGAGGCCCGUUCAGAGGCCUCCGGCGCAAUGUCAGGCUUUCUUGUCUAAGCCUGUCGAUUGUAACUCCUUUAACUGCAAAUCGUUUGUUCCUUCACCAACAUCACCUUCACCUGUAACUCCUUCACCUCCAUCACCUGGUACACCUUCACCUAUAACUCCUUCGCCGUUACCUUCGCCUUCAUCGCCACCUUCACCUGUAACUCCUUCACCCCCAUCACCUGGUACACCUUCACCCGGAACUCCUUCACCUCCAUCACCUGGGACUCCUUCGCAUCCAUCACCUGGGACACCUUCACCUGUAACUCCUUCGCCUUCAUCGCCUCCUUCACCUGCUACUCCUUCACCAUUACCUUCACCUACAACACCUUCACCACUGCCUACACCUCCAGCGCCUGCAACACAUCCUUCGCCACCGAACCCACUGGUACCUACACCUCCUUCGGAACCACCGGUGGUCGGACAUUCCCCUCCACCAGGACCGGUGGCAC
rnacentral:lncRNA from 1 species